AAGGAGGAUGAAAGAUUGUUUCUGGAAUGUAAGUGUAAGAAGUGAUACUUGUAGGAAAUAGGUGAUAAGACAUGGUAAGAAAUCCUUGGAAAACCAGUGUUACUGAUGGCAAUAAGAGUGCACAGGCCUUCCAGCGCACUGCACUGCAGGUGCUUACCUGGAAGAAAGACAACUAGGACCAUACCAGGAAGAAAAACAACUUCUGAAUUUCACAAGCCCAGGUUAUCUGAGCCUCAGAAUAGUAUGUGAAUCCUGUCACAGAUCGGUCAUUCUCAAGAAAUCACAGCUCUGCAAGUGCUGAGGGGAAAAAUGUAUUUCUUUAGUGAAGCCACAAUAUAUGAAUCAAAAAUAUAGAGGAAAUACUUUAUUGUGUAAGAA